GCCCGGGAUACCGAAGGAGGAAGACGGGCCUGAGUCACGAGUUCUAAAUUUUCCUUGUUCAGAUUUAUGAUUAGUAGAGGGUAGUGUCCAUCCACAGUGGAUGCGGCGCAGUACUGACCUGUUCUUGGAGUAACCUCGCCUAGAUGAGCACUGUUAACACGUUUGAGCCGAUGAUGUUGGACGUAACCAGGGGCAACAAUGAAAGGUCACCGCUUGCCCGUAUGAAGAUAAAGGGAGAGAAGUCUGACUACGCGGGACCGUGCAAUCGAACGGUGUUUUUAAUGCGUGCUUAGACAUGUUUUGGGGCAUUACUUUGGAUGGAGGCAAACGAUAUUCCCAAACGGUUGAAAGGCCAUUUCAUUUAUCCAUGGCUGCUUUAGAAUGUAACUCUGCUGAGCGUGAUAAAACAAGACGUGUGCAGGUGAUGAUACAGCAUGAUUCAGCGGAAUUUCUUCUAUGUACCUUGUGUCCUUUCAACCUGCUACAACAGCAGCUUGAUCUAACUUUCAGCCAGGGGGAGGAAGUAACAUUUUUCCUAAAUGGCAUAGGUAAG